rnacentral:rRNA from 1 species
CCUGGGGCUGUAGUCGGUCCCAAGGGUUGGGCUGUUCGCCCAUUAAAGCGGUACGCGAGCUGGGUUCAGAACGUCGUGAGACAGUUCGGUCCCUAUCCGUCGUGGGCGUAGGAAAUUUGAGAGGAGCUGUCCUUAGUACGAGAGGACCGGGAUGGACAUACCUCUGGUGUACCAGUUGUCGUGCCAACGGCAUAGCUGGGUAGCUAUGUGUGGACGGGAUAAGUGCUGAAAGCAUCUAAGCAUGAAGCCCCCCUCAAGAUGAGAUUUCCCAACUUCGGUUAUAAGAUCCCUCAAAGAUGAUGAGGUUAAUAGGUUCGAGGUGGAAGCAUGGUGACAUGUGGAGCUGACGAAUACUAAUCGAUCGAAGACUUAAUCAA